rnacentral:rRNA from 1 species
AUGGCUGAGAUGCGAGAGAAGCAUGGGGAGCUCACUCACCGCGGCGUCGAAGCGCUGGACGGCGGUCACCGGGAAGUAGCUGCCUUUCUCGAGCUUACUACCCUGCGAGAUAUUUCCUCGAACCUAUCAAUCAGCCACCAUUUCGAGCUGAAUUGCCAUUGUUUCUUGAAAUGUAAGUGUUUCCACACCUGGGCGGUGAAGAUGAGCAUCCAUGUCCUGCCGGGGGACUCGGUCCCGCCGAGGGUCUCGAAGAAGCUGGAGGUGUCGAGCUUGGCCUUCUUGAUCUUGGCCAGCGCCGCCAGCACCUCCGGGGCCGGCACCUUCCUCGUCUUGGCCGCGUCCUUGAGCACCUUCACGCUCUCCGCCACGGCCUGCGCUGAACCAGAACCAAGAAACCAUCUUAAAUGGCAGCCAGAUUGGGGGCAGUUUUUGUCAGCGAGAUGGAGACGGUCGGGCCAUGGCGAUGCUCGCUGCUCACCGAUAGGUCGGAGGGCUCGUCCGAAGGCGCAGGGGGUGACGAGGAGGGCGCCUUCUCGACGUCCGGCGACGCGGCGGCGGCGACGGUCAGCGAGACGCCGCGGGGACGGCGGGGGCUGGAGCGGAGGCCGAGCUGCGGCGGGGCAAGCCCGCGACGCGGCAGGGGCCGCGAGGAGGCUGGAGCGAGCGUGGAAGCGUGGAGCAAGGAUGCGGACGAGGCCAUCUUCUUCCUCCUCUUGCUCGGGCGGUCAGGUUGCUCUGUUCUCGGACGAGGUGCCGAGAUGGUUACCACGAGUUUGGAGUCUCUGCCUCUGUGGCUGUGGAGGAACGAGGGCCGUGUCACCGUCUGAGUGGAGUGGACACUUCUGGCGCACGCGUCGACGAGGCCAUAAUUCCACGGCUUCAACUAAGGCCACAAUUCGAAUGCUUAGGUAG